CGCACAAGCGGUGGAGCACGUGGUUUAAUUCGAAGCAACGCGCAGAACCUUACCAGCUCUUGACAUGUCUCGUUUGGGUUCGAGAGAUCGGACCCUUCAGUUCGGCUGGCGAGAACACAGGUGCUGCAUGGCUGUCGUCAGCUCGUGUCGUGAGAUGUUGGGUUAAGUCCCGCAACGAGCGCAACCCUCGCCCUUAGUUGCCAGCAUUCAGUUGGGCACUCUAAGGGGACUGCCGGUGAUAAGCCGAGAGGAAGGUGGGGAUGACGUCAAGUCCUCAUGGCCCUUACGGGCUGGGCUACACACGUGCUACAAUGGUGGUGACAGUGGGCAGCGAAAGGGCGACCUGGAGCUAAUCCCCAAAAGCCGUCUCAGUUCAGAUUGUACUCUGCAACUCGAGUGCAUGAAGGCGGAAUCGCUAGUAAUCGCAGAUCAGCAUUGCUGCGGUGAAUACGUUCCCGGGCCUUGUACACACCGCCCGUCACACCAUGGGAGUUUGUUGCACCAGAAGCAGGUAGCUUAACCUUCGGGAGGGCGCUUGCUACGGUGUGGCCGAU
rnacentral:rRNA from 1 species